GACGAACGCUGGCGGCGUGCUUAACACAUGCAGGUCGAACGGAAAGGCCCUGCUUGCAGGGUACUCGAGUGGCGAACGGGUGAGUAACACGUGGGUGAUCUGCCCUGCACUUCGGGAUAAGCCUGGGAAACUGGGUCUAAUACCGGAUAGGAGCCAUUUUUAGUGUGAUGGUUGGAAAGUUUUUUCGGUGUAGGAUGAGCUCGCGGCCUAUCAGCUUGUUGGUGGGGUAAUGGCCUACCAAGGCGGCGACGGGUAGCCGGCCUGGGAGGGUGGACGGCCACAUUGGGACUGAGAUACGGCCCAGACUCCUACGGGAGGCAGCAGUGGGGAAUAUUGCACAAUGGGCGCAAGCCUGAUGCAGCGACGCCGCGGGGGGGAUGACGGCCUUCGGGUUGGAAACUCCUUUCGCUAGGGACGAAGCUUUUUGUGACGGUACCUAGAUAAGAAGCACCGGCUAACUACGUG
rnacentral:rRNA from 1 species